rnacentral:pre_miRNA from 1 species
UCUCAAAAUUCUUGUCUUAAAUUUGUUUAAAUACGGAUGUAUCAAGUCACGUUUUAGUAUUAGAUACAUUCGUAUCUAGAUGAAUAUAAGACAAGAAUUUUGAGA